CCAAAAUGGGGUUUGAAGUUUCAGUCUCUGAGGAAGUAAACACUGAGAGGGUGCGUGAACUCAAAGAAUUUGAUGACACAAAAGCUGGUGUUAAAGGCCUUGUUGAUCAAGGAAUCACAAAAAUCCCAAGAUUAUUUCAUCAUCCACCUGAUGAACAUGUGAAGGUCUCAACUUCAGGCGGAAAAGCAGACAAUAUUCCUGUUAUAGACCUUGCAGAAGUUGACAAGGAUCCAAGUUUACGCCAAGGAGUUAUUGACAGAAUAAGGGAAGCAUCUGAGAAAUGGGGUUUCUUUCAAGUGGUCAACCAUGGCAUCCCUGUGACUGUUUUAGAGGACUUGAAAGAUGGGGUGUGCAGGUUUUAUGAACAAGAUACUGAGGUGAAAAAGGAUCUAUAUACCCGGGACCACAAGAAACCUUUUUUGUAUAAUAGCAAUUUUGAUAUCUACUCUUCACCAGCACUCAAUUGGAGGGACACUUUCAUGUGUUAUCUGGCUCCUAAUCCUCCCAAACCUCAAGACUUGCCAGCAGUAUGCAGGUACGUUUUUGUAUACAGUGCCUUGAGUUUUAUGCCACUUAGAUCAAGUAUGUUAAGCAAUUCAAUUAAAAUGCAUUGAUCCUAUAAAGGUUUUCAUACAAUAUGGGAAGAUGGUUGUACUUUUUGAUUAUUUUAAGAUAAUUUAUAGGAUGAAAGUUGAGGUCAAAUUUAGCUUUAUAAGUUUAUACUCAUAUGAAGUUAAUAUUCAUAAAGGGUGUGCAAUGUUCCUGAAUAAGAUUGAACCUUCUAAUAGCACAGUAGGCUAUGAAUUCUUAUGAACAAAGGCAUAAAUUGUUAUGAACAAAGUUACAAAGAGGAAGAAAAUCUUAAGUUAAACUUUCCAUUUCAACCAUAAGUCAUUUAGUUGAUUGCUAACUGAUUUCAUCUUCUUGUAGGGAUAUACUUCUGGAAUAUGGGACAUGUGUGAUGAAACUUGGAAUUGCACUAUUGGAAUUACUAUCAGAAUCUCUAGGGCUGCAUCCAAACCAUUUAAAAGACAUGGAUUGUGCUAAAGGGCUUAUUUCUCUUUGCCAUUACUACCCUGCCUGCCCUGAACCAGAAUUAACACUGGGAACCACCAAGCAUUCUGAUAAUUGUUUCCUCACAGUGCUCCUCCAGGAUCAUAUUGGUGGUCUUCAGGUUCUUUACCAGAACACAUGGAUUGAUAUAGCCCCAGAACCUGGGGCUCUUGUAGUUAACAUUGGUGAUUUUCUUCAGGCAAGUUCUUUAUUGUUAGAGUAAAUUACACUAAUUACUCCAGAAGUUUUUGUCAAAAAUUACAUAAACUUUUUCAAUAUCUGUUACAUUAUUGGGGAACUCAGAGUGUAAUGUUAACAACCAAUGGAGUUAGUAUAGUACUAAACGAAACUAAGAUAAUUAAUUAGUAUAGUUUACUCUUUUCUUUUAUUCUGCCUUCCAAGCAACUAAAAUACUCCAUAUUUCAUGAUACUUUUCUUGCAAACAUUUCGUGAAAGUUUAAAAUUCACAAAACAAUCAGCGAAAAGACUUAUUUCUAGCAAACUUUUAUAGAAACUAUGUUUGAAAAGUCCUAGGACAUAUAGCUGUAUCAUGAGAGUACUGAUAGGUUGACAACUCAAUAUUGAAUUGUUUCAGAUUACAACCUUACAACCUUUAAAAGUAGAAGAAGAACUAAUCUUGUAGUUGAGUGUAAGUUAUCUGAGAAAAUUGAGAAAGUGUAAAAGAUUGUAUAUUUGUAAUAAUAUUUUUUUUGGGUAAAAAGCCAGAACCUGAUGAUACACUUGACAACUUGACAAGUUCUUAUGAUACGUACAUGAAUUUAAAUAAGUGACAUUAUUGUUUUUUGUUUUCUUGAACUACAGCUUAUAACAAAUGACAAAUUCAAGAGUGUAGAACAUAGAGUAGUGGCAAAUGUGACAGGUCCAAGAAUAUCUGUUGCAUGCUUUUUCAGCGAAGGUCUUAAAUCAUCAGGGAAACUCUAUGGACCUAUAAAAGAGUUGUUAUCAGAAGACAAUCCUCCCAAAUACAGAGAAAUCGCUGUUGAGGAAUAUGCGCGCUACUACGUUGAAAAAGGCCUUGAUGGGACCUCUGCUCUUGAUCAUUUCAGGAUUUGAGUUGGAUUGAUGUGGUUGAAUUAGCACAAUAAAUGCAUUAGAAAUUGAAACAUUUAUGAAGCUCAAUGAGAUUAAGGAUCUUAUUAUCGGACUGGAAUUCCGUAGUGUCACUUGUCUUGUUAUUUUGGCACUUGCUGUUUCAAGACAUAACUGCUGAUAUGCUUUAUCUACAUGUUCUACGUUGAAACCCACAGUUCUUCACUUCUUCCUUCUGUCAAAGAGUAUAUGGAACUAUACAAAAGUAUCUCAGCUUAUAAGAGAAAGAUAAAUCAUAAUUAAAACUUAUUAGAAUUUAUAAAAUUGUAUGCCACACUCAUGAUUUUGUAGUUUUUCAUAAUUUUUCACAAAGAAAAUGAGUAAAUUAAAUAAUAAUAUAUUUAAUUAUCAAAAGAUGUGUAAUAUUGUUAACCUAUCAUUAUUUGUGAAAAAUCUAGAGAAUAAAGAUGAGAACGUCUUAGUUUAUUCCCCAAAUGAAAAACUAAAAUUCAAAUAAAACCUUUUUCGCUUACUCCUCCUCAAUCCUGAAGCUUGCAUAGUUGAUUACAGAACUUAUGCACAGGUAGCCUCAAUCCAAACAUGAUUUAUAUAAUAAGUUAUAAAUUUUUAAAAAAUUAUUAAUAGUGUUAAAACUAUCUUAAAAUUGUAAAAUAUAAAAAAAUUAUUCAUGUGAUACGUAUCCAAUAUCGAAAUACACCAAUUAAAAAUGGUGUCUGAGCUUCUAGGAACACACUUGGUUGUGUGAUAGCAUGACAUUCUCCAGAAGCAAAAGAAAUGGCAGUUGUUUGCAGGUUCUUUUAUCAUUACAUUUUAAGCAUUAAUCCUUUUCUUCCAUUUUCUUUAAUAAAAACUUUUAAUAUUAAAUAUCUCUAUAUAUAAUUAUAUAUAAUUUUACAUCAGUUAGACUCAUCUCAAAUAAUAAUAAUCACCUAUGCCAUUACAUAUAUAAUUUGUCUAACACUAUAAGAUUUUUUAUUACUUUACCAAAUAAUUAUUCAAUAGUAUAGUUAAUUAUAUAGACAUUCAAAAUUUGGUUUAUUAAAGAAGUUAAGAAUUCGAUCAACGGAAGAGUUGAAUUCUGAAUGUGGUUUUCAAUUUCUCUAGCAGUUGAAAUUCAGUUUCCGCACAAUCGAUUUUGAGUUUUUCUUUUGUUUUUUAGAAAAUAAAAGAAAUUUAAAAAUUGAAAAACAAAAAAAAUUUACUUUAAAAAAUAAAUAGUUAAAAAAAAUAUUUUGUAAAAAUUUAGAAAAUAUAUAUUUAAAAAACCAAAAAUUUAGAAAGGUAAAUUAUAUUGAAAAAUAAAAUUCUAUAAAAGUAUAUAUUUAAAAAAGAAUAAUAAUUUAGAAAACUAAUUAUAUUAAAAAAUAAUUAUGUAGAAAAAUAUUCUAUAUUUAAAAAUACUAAUUUAGAAAUGUAACUAUUUUGAGAAAUAAUUCCUUAGAAAAAUAAAUAUUUGAAAAAUUAUUUUUUUAGGAAAAUAAAAAUUUACAGAUUAAUUAUUUAGUUUUGUGUAGAAUUAAAAUAUGUAAUUUUAAUAGUGAUUUAUUUAUAAUUAAAAAAUAUAAUAAAAUAUAGAAUUAAAUAAAAUAAGUAAUUAAAAUGUAAAAAAAUGAAAAUGAUAUUUAAAAAUAUUGUAAAUAAAAAAAUUCUACCUCACAAAUUAAUGGAAAUAUAACUAAAUAAUACAUUAAUUUUUUAUUUUUAUUGUGAAAUUAUAUUUAUAAGAUGCGUGGAUAAAUAAAAUGUAUGUUUAAUAAAUAUGAUAGAAUAUAUUAGAAGAUUUAGACAUUGUAAUUGGUCGGGACGUGCUCGGGUCCUGACUCGAGCAUUUAAGUGUGUUAACUUGGUUGGUCAGGUCAAUUUGGGGGAAGUACUUAGCUCGAUCCAAGAUAAAUGGUAGAUUUAAGAUAAAUGGUAAGCCCAAUGAUGCGUCAUGAGGAUGACCUAGACAGUUGAGAGCCCAUAUUGAAAAUAUAAUUAAAGUAAAAAUAACAUAAGGAAUAACUAAAUUAGUUAAGCACAUAAAUUGCUGUAAAAUUCAAUGAAAAUAAACAAUUACAGAUAAUGUCGUCUGUACUCAAAGAAUAAAGGGAUAUAUUAAUAGAAUAUUUUUAUGUUUGUUAAACUCCUGAAAGGAGGUCUACGAAUACUAUAAAAGGGGCUCGAGACCCUGAGCAAAUGUAAGUUUGAAUAUGAUGAUAUACACCCGUACAUAUACUCUAUAUUCAGAUACUCAUAGUUAUAUGCUCUCACUGAUUUGUCAACAGGUGGAGUUUCCCUCAUUGUGAAUUAUCAGUAUCCCAAAGCAGCAACAAAAAAAAAAGAAAAGUAUGCCAAAGUCCACCACCAAAGUACGAUCCAAGUCAGUCGGCAAGAUCAUUUGGCGCCCACUAUGGUGCCCAAUAAAAAUUGAAUCCCACCAAUGCUUAUAGCUAAGCAACUGGACGUGAUGAAGAAUACUAGGCAAGGGGUGCAGGGACCAGAAGGGGAUGAGGUCCCAACCUUACAACAAAUCAUGGAGACCAUGAGAGCUUUCCAGCAAGCGAAUGAAAAAUAUCGAUGUGAGCAAGAGCGGAUUCGGGAAGAAGCCCGGGUCGAGCAAGAACGGCUGCGAGCAGAGGCUCGAGCUGACCAAGAUCGUCUUUGGGAGCAAAUACGACUGAAUCAAGCGCGUCUCAUGGAGGAAAUCGAGGCCUCCCAAGGACUAUGGAAGAACAUGCACAAGCCAACGAGGAGUUGCGUAAAGCCAAUGAGGAAUUGCGAAGGAACAUGCACCGGCAUUGACGAUGUCCUGCCCGAGAACGUUCCCCGGACAUGUCCUUGAGAGAUGACCCCAAACCGUGCUCUUAGCAAAUCUUGGAAGAGCCCAUACCGCCUCACUGUAUCACGCCCAAGAUUGCCCUUUUCUCCGGCAUGGAGGAUCUUGAGAGUCACUUAAAGGCGUUCAAAGCUCAAAUGAUCAUCUCGAGGGGGAAGGGGUUUAGAGCCGUCCGUUGUAAGAUGCUCAUGGGCACGUUAACAGGAAUAACUCUGUAAUGGUUUAGUGGGAUCCCGGAUGACCAUAUAACCUCUUUCCCUCAAUUCUGCAGAAUGUUUAAGGAGUGGUUCUCGGCCAAUAAAGUUUACCCCCACGGUUGCAUGAUCUAUUUGACGUCAAACAAAGGGAAGGAGAGCUACUCAAAGAGUACAUACACCGUUUAUGCGCAGUCUCUGUGAGGCUUCAGACUCCGAAUGAGGAAAUGAUGGUCGCCGCUUUCAUUAAAGGGAUGACGGCAAGCCCAUUCAGCGACUCAUUAAUCUUAAAUAGGCCGGAAACAUUAUAUGAGGUAUGAGAACGAGCUACAACUCAUAUCAAGGCAGAAGAAGUUGUACUCAGGAAGAACGACAACUCGCGGUCAAAGCUGCCCAGGUAUAAGGAGAGUAGCCGUAAUCGUUCCUCGAGGGAUGAUGAAACAUCCACAAGUAAAAGAACAGACCAGAGGUAUGUUCCGUACAUUGCAAAGAAAGACGAGCUGAAGACUCAAGCCAGUGAAGAGAUAAUCAAGCCAAGGUUCCGAGUAUCCUAUAAGAAACUUAUGGGCAUGGGCAGGGGGGCGAAUAAAUUAAAAUUUCCACAAAAGUUAGAUUAGUUCUUAGGGUCGCGAAGGGAGUGCUGGUAUGAUUUUCAUAGGGCGUGGGGGCACAAGGUCAAACGAUGCAUUGCCCUAGGUUAUAAACUUUCGAAGCUAGUCAAAGAGGGAUUCUUGACAGAGUAUCUCAAGGAUGGCCAAGAGGAACCGAAUAUGAAACUCUAGUCCUUGGAGACCUGAAUACCAUCGCGGGAGUAUUCUCUGGUGGUGAUGUCCCUAGAUGUAGAUAAAUCUGAGAGGUUUGCCGAACCCUCCUUGUGUUUCACCGUAUCUGACUUGGAGGACAUAUUUUGCCACGAAGAUGAUCCUGUGGUAAUAUCUGUUAUUACCAUAGAACGAAAGGUACACAGAGUCCUCAUCGACCAAGGAAGCUCGACUGACGUGAUGUUUUGGGGAACAUUUGUAUAUUUACAAAUCUAUCCGACCAGUUAAGGUCUUACGACGGUUGUCUUAUCGCGUUCGCAGGCAAUUAAGAGGAGGUACGAGGAUAUGUGGAGUUAAGGACGACCUUUUCUGAUGAAAGCGUAGCCAGAAUGAUCACUGUGAACUGUAUUGUUGUUAAUACACCUUUCACGUACAACCUGCUUCUGGGGUGACCUUCCUUGAAUGGGUUAGGCGCGAUGGUUUCUACCAUCCACAUGAAGAUGAAGCUGCCCACGCUCGAAGAAAAGAUAAUCAUGAUGAAGGCCGACCAAAAAAUGACACAAAAAUAGUACGAGAACAACCUUAAAAAUCGCAAGGGAACCUAUGCAAUCACCACCAUAUCGGGAGAACCAGGAUGGAUGGACAAAGUCGUCCCCUGGAAUGAUAGGCGACCUGAACUUGUUGGUGAAGUUCGGGAGUUGGAGAUAAAGGGGAAAAAGUUCAAGCUCAGCAGCUCACUUUGUAGGGAGUUGGAGAAGGAAAUUGCCGAGGUCAUUUCAAAGAAUAUGGUUGCUUUUGCCUGGUCGUCCGCCAACAUGCCGGGGAUUACCUAAAUUUUAUGUGCCAUCGACGCACCAUGGAUGAGAAGGUUAAACCUGUAGUUCAGAGACAAAGGAAAUUCAACAAGGAAAAAUGCCUCGUCAUGAGGAAGGAAACUAAAAAACUCCUCGUUAUGGGCCACAUAAGGGAAAUUCAAUAUCCUGAAUGGUUUGCAAAUGUGGUCAUGGUGAAAAAGGAAAAUGGAAAGUGGAGGAUGUGUGUUGACUUCACCGAUUUAAAUAGGCCUACCCUAAAAAUUCUUACCCUUUGCCAAGCAUCGAAUCCCUGGUAGAUAGCGUUUCAGGUUGUGGUCUGUUAAGCUUCCUGGAUGCUUUUUCAGGGUACAACAAUAUUCGCAUGCACCGGAAGGAUGAGAGUAAGACGACCUUAAUGGACAAAGCCGCUAGUUAUUGUUACAAGGUCAUGCCCUUUGGACUGAAGAAUGCGGAGGCGACUGACCAGAGAAUCAUGCAUCAGAUCUUAUCUCCAAUGCUCAGUGGUAAUGUUCAAGCGUAUGUAGACGAGAUGGUUGUCACCUUAAUAAAGGCGGAUGAACAUGUCACACUCGGAGGAGUUGUUCGCCACUAUAGCAAGGUACAACUUGAAGCUCAAUCCCGAUAAAUGUGUUUUCGGUGUCUCGACACAGAAGUUCCUUUAUGUCUUCUUUUGUUAUUGCCUCUUUGCCUUGAGUCAUAUGUUCUUUAGUGUCAUGAUGUGAGUUGAUUUUUUAGAUGUUUUCAUUUUAAGGUGACACUUUACUUUAAGAUUGAGAUUUUAGGAGUUAAUGGUGAUGACCUUAGAGAAAUUCCCACUGGACAUUAACUUAACCAAGUGGUUAAGUAGGUGUGAAGGUGCAUUUCACAAAGGCAAAGAUAAAAGACAUUGUAUGGUGAGAGUGCAUGCAAAUUGUGGAAAUAGAGAAGAAAGCUAGGAAACAUCAAGGAAAUGGAAGAAGAAACUUAUGGAGAUGGUGAUGGGUGGUCACGCCACUUGGUGGGUGGAAACUGCCGAGAUAAGUGCUAGGUCGCCACUUGAGAGUUUCAUUCUCUUCAAGAUAAGACCAAAAGGAAGAAGAGAUAAUACUCACUCAAGCUCUCACAAUAUUUGUGUAGAGUAACUUUUCUAUUUAAUUUCAACAUGUAAAAUACAAUGGGUAGGCCUCCUAUUAAUAGGUGAAGGAGCCUUGGAAAACAAGCAAGAGGGGUAGGAUGGGAAAAGGGAAAAAAUGGGCAGCCUUAAGGUUUGACUAAGUCAAACCCGCAUCCUAGGCUUGUCCUUCUAGAAACUAGGUCAAAUUGCCUUCCUAAAGGGUUAGGAACAAGCUAAAAUGAUACCUACACCCCCUAUUAUGCUAAAGACACCUUAUUCUAGCCUAUCUUUGCUAUUUGGACCCCUAAAGUGAACCCAAAUUAUUUACAAUUUGUUUUAUUGUUUAAGAAAACCAGCAGGAACAACAUCAGAUGUUCUGGUUUGUGUUCAUUUCUUCCUCUGGUGAGGUUUGCUAAAUCCUUGGUGAGGUCUUCACUUGAUUGUUUAGAUGACUUCUCAUAGUGUGCAUCCUUGGUCAUCUCCUUGUUGGCUUGGUUUGCAUCACUAUGACAAAUGUUGUCGAUAGCACAACACCUCUCAACUGAGAUGAUACUGACCUCAAUAUCCCAACUCAACAGGGGGCACUUGCUGCAAAAGACUUCUUCAGGGAUAUCCAAUGGUACGUGGAAAAGAGGUAUGUUACCUUUUUGUCAAACUCAAGUAUACUCGGAUCGCAGAGGCAACUAAGUCUCAACCUACUCUGCAACCAAAUGUCGUGCCCUAUGAAGGGCAUCAACUCGACAAGGCCCUGUUGUGAAACCCCCGCUACCUUUCACCACUGAUGACUCCCUAAAAUCUGUUAAGGAGUGCCUACUUGAGGAAGACGAAAAACUGCUAGAAGACAUCACUAACUUGGAGGGUACGAGAACUCUCGACACUUAGCCACUUUUUGAAACACAGAAAGAAGAAGUGGUCCCCUUACUCCGAAGGUGCCCUAAUUUAUAGGCAACGAGACUCAAACAAUUCAAAUGUCAGGAAACACCAUAUUCAUUAGAUUGUUUUGCAUCCAACAAUCAUAACAAAAAUUGAGUACUAAGGAAGAUUCAAAUUCAAUUUCCCACAGAAAACAAGGACAUUCUAAAGCUUAUUUCCUACAUCACAUCCAUGCAUCACCUCCAAGCACCCAUCAACACAUUUCCCCGGUAGACCCUCGGAUCAACAACUUUCAGUCAUAUAAACCACUCAAACCUCUUCAUGCUAAAGAAUUUUGAGCUUGGGGGGAAGUGUACGACAUGGAGCCGAGACCCUCUCGGACACUGACAACUAAACUACCUAAGCCUCCCCUCGACACCUUCAUGAAGAGUUUAAAAGAGGAUAAGAGUUAAAAUUGUACCUAGUCCUAGAACAUUAACAACAUAAAUUGUGCUAAUACAGGCCCACAAGCAUAAGGGUCCAACUCAUCCCUAUAAACAGGUUGAUGAACAUCUUACCAAUGUACGCAUUUUAAGACGUUUAUUACUCUCAACAACCAACGAUCAAUCCCUGACUUGAGUGUCAAAAUGUGUUUUUUCAAGUACCCCUUCCCGACCAAGAUUGAAUACCAACGACUAGAUUUAUCAAAAACAUAUAAAGCAAAAAGGACAAAUCCUUUCUGCCCUUGUGUAACCUUUUUAAAAUUUUUGCAAUGUUAAUGAUGGAUAGAUGACAGACUCAAGUUACUAUCAUAAGAGAAUCUUUAAAAAUACUUCAAAAAGUUAGUUUUUUCAAAAAAUCUCCUUUUUUUAGGAUAAUUUAAUAAUAUGUCAUUAUACAAGUUUAACGAAAAAAAGGAUUUAUGCUAUAUAGUUUUAUACCGGUUGGUCUAGAAACAUAAAUUAUGUCGAAUACUUGAUCAAGUUCUACUAGACAAACUAAUGCUGGAAAGUUACUAACAAAACAUUAUUUAGAAUUUUAUCACUUGUGACUAGAUAACUUGAGUAUUGUUUGAAGACUUAGUCACUUUUAACUAACAAUUAAGAGUAUUUUUGAAACGUAUUUACUUCUAGAUAAACAAUUCAGAAACAAUUCGAGUGUUGUUCCUAAUAAGACACGAGUAUUUAUUUGAAACACAUUAAAAAAGGAAAUAAUUUAAAAGAUGAUAAGAUUUUUCUUUCUUCAGUAAAGAAUGUGAUGGAAGAAGGUCAAUCUCAAGCCUAAGUUCAGGCCCAACAACUAGGUCAAUGACAAGAAAGAUUCAAGAAGACUAGGAUUCUGCUACUAAUGGCAAAUAAACUUUCCUAUACAUGUUUAAAAUGUCAUAAACCUAGUGUAGAGUAGACUUUAUUUUCUUGUCAAAGUAUAAUAAGAAUUUUACUUGUAUUUUUUUAAAUGUAAUUAGGUUGAAUUAUGGCAUCUAAAAAGCAACCUAAGUUAAAUUAGGGUUUCUAGAAACAACUAAUUUAAACCUUGACUGGUCCUUUAGACCUAAUUGGAGCACAUGAUACACACCAUGUCACACACUCCACGUGAGAUCAAAAUAGGCGCCCAAUUCAAACCAUUUUCCAUUUGAAUUUCCCACCUCUUUUAUAAUACAUGACCAGACCUCAAAACCUAUAAGUAAAGGUGCUUGGUUCAUGUUUUUCCAAGAUUAAUGAAUAUGUGAAAUUGCUGCCAACGUUGCUAGCCUUUCUCACUCCCUUGUCUUGCCUCUCUAGGAUAUACACUUUAAUCUCCUUCUUCACCUAUCUCAAGUUAUAUGGCCCAACCAAUCACUCUCCCUACCUAUCAUGCACCUUCAAGGAAACCAUAGCUCUAUAUGAGCCAUCCUUGUUCAUCUUUUCCAAUGAAGCUUUCGCCAAUCCUCUCCAAAAUCCAAGAAAAGAAUUUGGUCAUGAAGGCACAACAACAUUCCAUCAUUUAGUAUUUAGAGCCAUGGUUCUUCAAGAGCUAAGUGUGCCUUCUCUUUUUUUAAUUUUUGUGUUGCUUGAUUUUAAUUUGAGUGUAGUUUUAUAUUUUAAAUUUGAGCUUUGGUGCAUUUUUAUUUUUCCAGAUUUGAUUUCAUGCUUGUGUGCUAGUUCCAUACAAGUUCAUUUACAUUAAUUCCAUUGUGUCUUUGAAUUUUUCAAUUCUGUUUUUAAUUCCAGUGUAAGUUUCCUCUGUUUUACUGAUUUUGUGCUGGCUGAAAACAUUUAUGAAAAUUAAUUCCCUUGAUGAAAAAUUAUGAGAUUUUGUAUUUGAACAGUUUGAGGUGUUAAAAAAAAUUUAAAAAAGAAUUAUAGCAAAAUUAAAAAUACAAAAAAAAUGAUAAAUGAAAAACGAACAGAGUGCAAAGUUUUGACUCUGAAAAAAAAGUGAAGCGACAGUGAUUUUAAAAAUAUUAUCACAAUUAAUUAGCGCACUGUUUUGGUAAAUUUCCAGCGCCUAAUUCGAGACAAGACGUUGAGGUUUCUGUGGUUUAAAUUUCACAUUCAAAUUUGAAGUAUUUGGCUCAACAUAAAUUUUGAAAGUUACGCAAAUUUUACACAAAAUUCCAGUAGUGUUGUUUUUGGUUUUUUUUAUCCAAUUCUAGUACCAUUCUCUAGGUUUCAUUUUGAGUACUACAUUUUCUUGUGUUCCUUAAUUUUUUGUUUGUCAAUUUUAUUGAAUACUCUUUCAAGUCUUUUCAUAUAUCAAUUCCCUUUGUUGUCGUCCUAUUUUUUUAAAUUGAGUUUUGUUGCUUUAAACUUGUUUGACCUCUUUUUGGUGGAAGCAAGUUAAAAAGUGCUUUGGUAAGUAGAGGAGCUGAAAUUUUUGGUGAGAGCUAUAUCACUAAAGAGGUGCAGAUUUGAACAUUCAAAGUUGAAUAUACUAAGGAGGUAUAACAAGGGGCAAUAACAAGCUAGCAUAAAAAAAUACACAAAGGAGCUACAAAGUGAAGAAGUGCAUUAAAUAGGUUUUAAAAUUUUGUGCCUCAAAAUUUGUUGAUUUAAUUUCUUUGUAUUUAUUUGAGUUGUAGUUUUGCAAAACCUUGAAAAAUUAGUGGAUUAAUUUCAUCUUAGACGGUGAGUGUGUCUUUAAGGUUCCAAGUGUCAAGAAGCCUCACCUUAGGAAACUCCUAUUUUAAAGCUUUCUAGUUAGCAAUUUUCAAUUGUAUGUUUUAUUGCUUUGCAUUGUUUUCUUGCAUAAAACUUUUUUUUCAUCUUUGAUUGUGCUCUAAGUGAAUUACUUAGAGAAGGGUUUGUGAAAGUAUUGUGGAAUAGAAUCUAGCUAGGAAAGGCUUGGUACUUAAGUGAUCCAAGUGAUCCACCUCCCUUUCUUGGGAAUCUACCUAUGGUACUCCAUAUAUCUUUCUUUUGGUAAAUUUCUUCUAACACAUAACUUUCAACAUGUCUUCUCAUUCUUCUAGUCCAAGUUAAAGUGAUAGAAACUCCAUAAAAUAUCUUUUAAAACAAUUAGCCAAAGACUUUCAAUCAUUAUCACAUCGACAAUUGCAACAUGAGGCCAAAUCAUAGAAGAUAAAAAAGAAAGGGAUGCUCAUCUUACUAUUUUAGAAGAGGAGUUUAAAAUUGUUAAAGAAAAGGAUGAAUACAUAAGAAAACAAAAAGAUCUUCACAUGCAUCUUGUUCUAGGUUGAGUGACUCAUAUGCUGAGGAGAGUCUUAGAAUGAAUGAAUACUAUCAACCUCAACCUAGGAGAACUAGAAGAGAAAACUCAAAGGAGACUAGGCUAUAUUUACCUCAUUUCUAUGGAAAAGAAAAUGUUGAAACAUAUCUAGAUUGGGAGAUGAAGGUAGAACAACUUUUUGCUUGUCACCAUGUGAGUGAGGAGAGAAAAGUAUCCCUAGCCACCUUAAGUUUUCAAGGAAAUGCUAUGUAUUGGUGGACUGCCCUUGAGAGAGAGAUGCCUCCAUAAGGACCCUUCCAUUGAGUAUUGGAAUGAUCUUAGGGGAGUCUUGAGGCGCUGCCAUAUUCCCUCUUAUUACAAUAGGGAGUUAAUGGACAAGCUCUAAAGACUCCAACAAAAGAGCAUGAGUGUAGAAGAAUAUAGACAGAAAAUUGAUGAUAUUCCUAGACUUGAUGAUAUGCUUGAUGAAUUGCAUGGGUCCAUCAUAUUUUCCAAGAUUAAUCUUAAAAGUGGAUAUCACCAAAUAAGAAUCAAAGAAGGUGAUGAGUGGAAAACUGCUUUUAACAACAAAUUUUGCUAUAUGAGUGGUUAGUGAUGCCUUUUGGACUCACUAAUGCACCUAGCACUUUCAUAAGGCUUGUGAAUCAUGUCCUUAGGGAUUGCAUAGGUAAAUAGGUUAUUGAUGCCUUUUGGACUCACUAAUGCACCUAGCACUUUUCCUACACUAUCGUCCAUUAUAGGUUGUGGUUGAGGUGUAUUGAAUUCUUCAACUACGAAGGAAUGUCGGUAAGGUUUUUGCUAUGGUUGAUAAUAAUCUGUUUCAACUGCAAAUGAAUGUCAAUAAGGAUCAUGUUGUUCAUUGUUGUAAUUAGUGGCAGUUGAGAAUGUGGGCUCUAGAGGUGGUUUUUGUUGUGUGCGUAGAUUGUUUAAUAAUUGUGGCACUAACAAGAAAUAUAUUGAAUUGGCCAUGUACCAUUCCAUGUGUUCUCUACUGUGGAACAAUGGUCCAUGCAUUGGAUGACCAAUUAACGUUAGUUCGUGGCAGUUGUUACAUGUUGAUCCACUUUGCAUGUUUAGUCUGCCAAUUUUCGUCAGAUCGUUCCCGCAUAUCAAUUUUGUGUAGUUUAUCCAAGUUGUUAGGUGAGGUUAGGACCUCUUGAAACAUCCAAAUUGCAACCGAACUCUGUAGACUGAAGCCAUUCCACUGUUGCAAAACAAAUGAUAGGAGUGCAUGUUGUCCAAAGUUCAACAUCCCAUAUGCUUCUAGGGGGUGGAUGCCUCGAAGUCCUUGUAUGGAUUCCAUUUAAACUGCAGUAAGUCAUUCUUAUUAAAAUAUAUAAUGUGCAAUUGGAAUAAAUAUUAAUGUGGAUGCCUCUAAGUCCUUGAAUGAAUUCAAUUUAUGUAUUUCAUUUUAAAAUUUUAAAUGAAAUUGAAAUAAAUAUUUUUUCCAUUAUCUGAUUAGCUUGUAUGUGGUCAAUCGUAGACCUGUACCUAGUAGAUCAUUGUGAGAGGGAUAUUUCUGAAGUUAAGAACCCUGCCACCACUCCAUUUACAAACUAGGGGUACAAAAGCUGUUGUCUAGAAAAAAGGCGUGAUGUAUGGCAUGCGAUACCAUGCCCAUGAUUGCAUAAGCGAUGCAUGUCCUCCCAUUUUUGUUGUUGUGGCAUCUAUUGCCCUACACAAUUCCCUGUAAAACACUGCCAAACAAGCAAAACCCCAAAACUAUCGACUUGUUCUACGUAGGUUAGUUAGAAAUGCUAAGUACAUAAGAUGAACUUUGUUUCCUAUUUUAUCUAGCAUUAAAACCCCUCCAAUCAAACCUAGUAUGUACGCCCUACAAUGGGCGUAUAGUUGUUCUUUUUUUGUAUGUUGACCUAGUGGGAUCGUAUUUUCUAUGAGCCAUUUGAGUUUUACAUGUGAACCAAUGAGUGACUGACUUUUCACUGGUGCGACACCCAGAUAAGUAUCACACAUUACCUCCCAAUAAAACAUUGUUGGCCCAACAAUCAGUGCCUCAUCUACUCCGAGACCUAGUUGAAGUGAAAUGUCUUGUAAUUUAAUGGUACACUCGCCCGUUGGAAGGUGAAAUGUGUGAGUUUCAAGUCUCCACCUCUUAACCAACAAAGUUACUAAGUCAUGAUCCACUUAAUGUCUUAGUUUUUCAAUUUCACCAAAUCCUGCUUGUUCUAAGAUUGGAAUUGUCAAAGGAUGUGGCUCUGACAUUGAAUGACAAAUAGAAUCCAUAACAUCAUUAUUGGGGUCCUGCCCAAUUAAAUAAAUUAAUAUAACAUAAAAAGGUUACCUCAAAAAAUGAGUUUUUGAAAAUAAUUUAAAUGAACUUACCAUAGUAGUAAUGUAAGAAAACCCACACUUUUGUUGAUUCCACGACCACAUACUGCUCGACUAAAACUUAAUUUAUAUUAGAAAAAGGUCAGGAAAGUAUCAACAAGCAAUAUCUCUAAAAUAUCGUGAAUGGUUAAAUGUGGCGAAGUUAAAUUUAUAGCUCAAUAAUGUGUAACUUGUUCAGGAAAUAAUCUGGUUGAACAAUGCCUCGUGCUUUGUGUGGUUCAUUGUGGAUGGUUGAUUGAGUGAGAUUCAAUCUGGGAUGUUUCUUUUGGCUUGACACUCUACUUAAGAAUUUGUAGAUUGUUUAGAAAAUAAUGUGGGUGAACAGUGCCUUGUUCUUUUUGUAGUUCAUUGAGGAUGGUUGAUGAGGUGAGAUUUAAUUUGAGACGUUGCUUUUGGCUUGACACUAUGCUCAAGAAUCUGUGGAUUGUUCAGAAAAUAAUGUCGGUGAACAAUUCCUUGUUCUUUGUGUGGUUCCUUCAGGAUGGUUGAUGGGGUGAGAUUCAAUCUGAAACGUUGUUUUUGGGUUGACACUCUACUCAAGAAUUUGUGGAUUGUUCAGAAAAUAAUGUGGGUGAACAGUUCCUUGUUCCUUGUGUGGUUCCUUGAGGAUGGUUGAUGGGGUGAGAUUCAAUCUGAGACGUUGUUUUUUGGGUUGACACUCUACUCAAGAAUUUGUGGAUUGUUCAUAAAAUAAUGUGGGUGACCAGUGCCUCGUUCUUCGUGUGGUUCCUUGUGGAUGGUUGAUGGGGAGAGAUUCAAUCUGAGACGUUGCUUUUGGCUUGACACUCUACUAAAAAAUUUGUGGAUUUUUCAGAAAAUAAUGUCCGUUAACAAUGUAUCGUUCUUUGUGUGGUUCCUUGAGGAUGGUUGAUGGGGUGAGAUUCAAUCUGAGAUGUUGCUUUUGGCUUGACACUCUACUCAAGAAUUUGUGGAUUGUUCAGAAAGUAAUGUGGGUGAACAGUGCCUCGUUCUUUGUGUGGUUCCUUGAGGAUAAUUGAUGGGGUUAGAUUCAAUGUGGGAAGUUGGUUUUGACUUGACACUCUGCUCAAGAAUUUCUAGAUUGUUCAAAAUAUAAUGUGGGUGAACAGUUCCUUGUUCUUUGUGUGGUUCCUUGAGGAAGGUUGAUGGGGUGAGAUUCAAUUUGAGACGUUGCUUUUGGCUUGACACUUUGCUCAAGAAUUUGUGGAUUGUUUAGAAAAUAAUGUGGGUGAACAGUGCCUCAUUCUUUGUGUGGUUCCUUGUGGAUGGUUGAUGGGAUCAGAUUCAAUAUGUGAUGUUGCUUUUGGCUUAACACUCUACUAAAUAAUAUGUGGGAUGCUCAAAAAAUAAUCUGGAUGAAAAUUGUCUCAUGCUUUGUGUGGUUCAUUGAGGAUGGUUGAUGGGGUUAGAUUCAAUGUGGGACGUUGCUUUUGGCUUGACACUUUGCUCAAGAAUCUAUUAGAAAAUAUUGUGGAUGAAUAGUGCCUUGUUCUUUGUGUGGUUCCUUGUGGAUGGUUGAUGGGGUCAGAUUCUAUGUGGGACGUUGCUUUUGGCUUAUUAAUGUUUAGUUUUUGUUUAGUUGUUCCUUCGUUUCAUUUAAUGGGUAUGAACUUUUUGUGAUUGUGUUUUAAUGAAUUAAUGCUUUAAAAAAUUAUCAUUGUUGGAAUAAAACUCAUACAAUAAGAAACAUACAACACUCAAUCGUAAUGCAACACUAAAUCAUAAUAAAACAAAAGCACAAACGAUGAAGAAGGUAACAACGAGGAACAUACACUCACUUGAUCCUUAAAGAGUCGUUCAAUUUUUUUUCAAUGUCCUGCGACGUUUUGGAAGUAAAAUGAUUCCCUAAAUCAUCAUGUUGCUGGGUAAAUGCCAUAAGUUCAAACCUUGCACAAGGUUUAUAUCUUUUUCCAAAACCAACGUCACAUUAUAUGUCGUCAUCAUCUUCAAUAUGGACACAUCGAUAUGAAUUCCUAAUUUCAUUCAUAUACACUAGACAUUAAUAAAAUAAAUCAACAUAAUAUGACUUGCCAUAAUCUGGGACAAACAAAUGUAGAAUGAGGUUUCUAAGAACAGAUAGGGGCAUGAAUUGAUAAACCUCAACUGAAGCAGUUGAUUGAUUGACAAAGAUGGUCGAGUGAAGCUCAUUAGUGAUGAUUUUACCGUUGCAAUGCACCAAAGCCAUGAUACUUGACGAAAUCAUUUUGUGAUAUUUAUAAACAUGUGGCUAUUGGUUUGAUGUUUCGUGUAUGUGUAGGUAAUAGUGUUGAUAAGAAAUGACAUCAAUUGUCAAAGCAAGUUCUGACAUAUUUAUUAUACACUAUUCAAUAUAGGAUUCUUUUUAAUUGUGCAUAUGGGGAUAUGUAGGUGAUGUAAUAAUGGUUUUCCAUUGAAUUCCUUUAUACGAACCGAUAAUGAUGUAUGAACCCAUAGGAUUUUGUAAACCCCUGUUGGAUUAAUUCCUUUCACUUAGUAUAUUAUUUAUGAAUUGAAUGGAAAAAAUUUCGUGAUCCAAUUGUACUUAUAAGAACUCUUCGUGUUUCUAAAAUGCCCCUUAAUUAGUUUUUUUUACUGGCAUUCAUACAUAGUGCUUACAUUUUAGGCCUGGAUGAGGCCUAGUCGUAGAGGGACACAUGAAUAUUUAAAUUCACUACAAUUUUAUAAAUAUUUAAAAUUUAUUCUCUCCAUUUUUAAUUAAAAUUUUCAAAACAUUUUUUACUUAUGAAAAUUUUAAAAAUUAUUUUAUUUUAUUUUAUUUUUUCUUAAAUUUAUUUAUUUUUUCUUUUCCAUUCACUCCAGACAAAGAAAUAAAAAAUUCUAAAAACUCCAUCCCCAAAUUCAUUUAUUGCACAAUUAAUUUUGGUUGAACAUUCAUACGCCAAAGUCGAAAAUUGGAUACCAGAUUUUGAGCAUCCACUGGAAAACCAAAAUCUUUUUCACUACAAUACCAGAAAUAAGAAAUAAAAAUAAAAAGUUGUAACAAAAAAUUUGGCCCAUAGUAAUGAAUUUCAAAGAACAUUCAGUUACCGUAUAAUUAAUUUUAGAUGAACAUUUAUAUGCCAAAGUCGAAAUUAUAUUUUUCACAAACUGGAUUUUGAUAAUCCUCUGAACGAUUAUUUUAUGCUUGUGUUCAUUAUCAUAAAAAAAUACUUUUAGAAUUCAGUUCUCGAAAACAAAAUUCUAAGAGGAAAUUUUUUCCGCAAAUAGAAAUGAUGGUAAGAAUUCAUUUUCCUAAAAACCGAAUUCUCACCAAUUGAGUGCUAGUUGAAAAAAUAAAAGAGUGGUGGUAGUUGGGAAAAUAAAAAGAAAAGAGUGCUAGUAGGGGAUUUAAUGUUAGUGUUAUUUGAGGAAAAAAAAAAAAAAAAAGUCUCCAAGCUACCUAAACCAAGUGUUUCUCUCUUCCCCUAGCAGUACCAAAAUCAGCACAAGGAAGCAAUAUGGGGUUUGGAGUUUCAGUCUCUGAGAAAGUAAACACUGAGAGGGUGCGUGAACUCAAAGAAUUUGAUGACACAAAAGCAGGUGUUAAAGGCCUUGUUGAUCAAGGGAUCACAAAAAUCCCAAGAAUUUUUCAUCAUCCACCUGAUGAACAUGUGAAGGUCUCAACUUCAGGCGGAGAAGCAGACAAUAUUCCUGUUAUAGACCUUGCAGAAGAUGACAAGGAUCCAAGUUUACGCCAAGGAGUUAUUGACAGAAUAAGGGAAGCAUCUGAGAAAUGGGGCUUUUUUCAAGUGGUCAACCAUGGCAUCCCUGUGACUGUUCUAGAGGACUUGAAAGAUGGGGUGUGCAGGUUUUAUGAACAAGAUACUGAAGUGAAAAAGGAUCUAUAUACCCGGGACCAGAUGAAACCUUUUUUGUAUAAUAGCAAUUUUGAUAUCUACUCUUCACCAGCACUCAAUUGGAGGGACACUUUCUUUUGUUAUCUGGCUCCUAAUCCUCCCAAACCUCAAGACUUGCCAGUAGUAUGCAGGUAAGUUUUUGUAUGUACAGUGCCUUGAGUUUUAUGCCACUUAGAUCAAGUAUGUUAAGCAAUUCAAUUAAAAUGCAUUGAUAUUAUGAAGGUUUUCAUACAAUAAGGCAAGAUGGUUGUACUUUUUGAUUAUUUUAAGAUAAUUUAUAGGAUGAAAGUUGAGGUCAUAUUUAGCUUUAUAAGUUUAUACUCAUAUGAAGUUAAUAUUCAUAAAGGGUGUGGAAUGUUCCUGAAUAAGAUUCAACCUUCAAGUAGCACAGUAGGCUAUGAAUUGUUAUGAACAAAGGCAUAAAUUGUUAUGAACAAAGAUACAAAGAGGAAGAAAAUCUCAAGUUAAACUUUCCAUUUCAACCAUAAGUCAUUUAAUUAAUUGCUAACUGAUUACAUCUUAUAGGGAUAUACUUCUGGAAUAUGGGACAUGUGUGAUGAAACUUGGAAUUGCACUAUUUGAAUUACUAUCAGAAUCUCUAGGGCUGCAUCCAAACCAUUUAAAAGACAUGGAUUGUGCUAAAGGGCUUAUUUCUCUUUGCCAUUACUACCCUGCCUGCCCUGAACCAGAAUUAACACUGGGAACCACCAAGCAUUCUGAUAAUUGUUUCCUCACAGUGCUCCUCCAGGAUCAUAUUGGUGGUCUUCAGGUUCUUUACCAGAACACAUGGAUUGAUAUAGCCCCAGAACCUGGGGCUCUUGUAGUUAACAUUGGUGAUCUUCUUCAGGCAAGUUCUCUAUUGUUAGAGUAAAUUACACUAAUUACUCCUGAAGUUUUGUGAAAAAUUAGUUAAACUUUUCCUUAUCUGUUACAUUAUUGGAGAACUCAGUGUAAUGUUCUUCAAACAACCAAUGGAGUUAGUAUAGUACUAAAAGAAACUAAGAUAAGUAAUUAGUAUAGUUUACCCUUUUCUUUUAUUCUGCCUUCAAAGCUACUAAAAUAUUUCAUUAUACUUUUCUUGCAAGUGAAAUUUUAAAAUUCACAAAAAUAAAUCAGCAAAAAAGACUUAUUUCUAGCAAACUUUUAUAGAAAAUAUGUUAGAAAAGUCAUGGCCAAUAUAGCUGUAUCAUGAGAGUCCUUAUAUGUUGAUAACUCAACAUUGAAUUGUAAAGUAGAAGAAGAUUAAUCUUUUAUUGAAAUGUCAGUUAUAAAGAAAAUGGAGAAAUUCUGAAAGAUAGUAAAUUUGUAAUAAUAAUUUUACUGGGGAAAAAGCAAAAGCCUGAUACACUUGACAAGUUCUUAUGAUACAUACAUGAAUUUAAAUGAGUGUGACACAUUAUUGUUUUUUGUUUUCUUGAAGUGCAGCUUAUAACAAAUGACAGAUUCAGGAGUGUAGAACAUAGAGUAGUGGCAAAUGUGACAGGUCCAAGAAUAUCUGUUGCAUGCUUUUUCAGCGAAGGUCUUAAAUCAUCAGGGAAACUCUAUGGACCUAUAAAAGAGUUGUUAUCAGAAGACAAUCCUCCCAAAUACAGAGAAACCACUGUUGAGGAAUAUGUGCGCUACUUCAAUGAAAAAGGCCUUGAUGGGACCUCUGCUCUUCAUCAUUUCAGGAUUUGAGUGGGAUUGAUGUGGCUAAAUUAGCACAAUAAAUGCCUUAGAAAUUGAAACAUUUAUGAAGCUCAAUAAGAUUAAGAAUCUUAUUAUCUUAUUCAAGGACUGUAAUUCUGUAGUGUCACUUGUCUUGUUAUUUUGGCUCAUAAGAGAAAGAGAAAUCAUAAUUAAAAUUUAUUAGAAUUUAUAAAACUGUAUGAACUUUCAUACCAACACUCAUGAUUUUGUGACUUUUCAUAAUUGCUCUUCUUUAGAUGUCUUAUGUGCAUAGAAUCCAGAGAAUGAAAAUGGGAACGUCUUAGUUUAUUCGCCCUAAAUGAAAAACUGAAAUUCAAAUAAAACCAUUUUCGCUUACUCCUCCAUCUUGAAGCUUGCAUAGUUGAUUACAGAAUUUAUGCACAGGUAGCCUCAAUCCAAGCAUGUUUUAGCACAUUUUGACGAGUUUCUUUAUAGUAUUUAUAUAAAAAAGAAUAAAAUUUAAAUUAAAUUUACUUGUAAGUUAAAAAAUAAAAAUUUAAAGAAAUCACGUAAGAUAAUUUUACAAAUUAAUAUGUACAUAAGUUAAUUUUAAUUUAGGCAAAAGUCAAUGUUACUUUUUUAAAGUUAUAGAAAAUUUAUCGAGACAUAUCUUUAUCAAGAGCCCUCUAAUCUCAGUGAUGGCUCAACCAGUGAACUAAAUCCAAAUUACCUCAUAGGCAUCCAUCCAUGAUGAUCCUAUUGUUUGAGGUGGUGUUGCAUAAAAACUUAGAUGUGCACGUGAAAAAUGGGGAUUCUUUCAGGUCAUAAAGUAUGACAUUCCAACUCAAUUUUUGGAUAUGAUGUAAUGGUAUGUAACAGGAUACUAACACGAUUCAUAUUCAGACAUCUUGAUACAUUUUUCUUUUAUCGGUAAAGAAUAAAUAAAAUAAAAUGAGAUAUUUUAGGGGUGUCUCAACCCUUAUACAAAAAAUCCAAAACAAGCUUUCUAGUACCCAACCAACUAAGGAUCCAACAUAUACUACACUACAAUAAUCAAAAUAAUAUACCAGAUCAAGAUAUAGAAACCUAACAAAUACAAUUAGAACAACCCACCAAAGAGAUCACAUCCUCAAUACAGGACAUACAUCCAACAACUAAACAAGAUGUUUGCCAGCAGGCUGAAGUGUGCCACAUAACUAUUCUUGUCGGUUGACUCGAUUGCCCUCGUGCCUCUAACGACGAUCCCACGCUCGAUUCUCUCUGCCUUGGUUCGUGCAUUCCUUUGAUCGAAACACUCUAUACCUGCAAAGACAAAGGGGCGCCCUAGAGGCUGUUUGCACUCCGACGCUCAAGUCAAUACUGGGGCAAAGAAACAGAAUGUGUGUAAUAGUUUUAGUCUCAAGAACUGCGUACCUUGUGGGUUUUCUUACUACCCUUUAUAUAGUCUAGGGUUUUCGUUGUUUUCGUUACCCGCAUUUAGGGUUUCUGGAGGAAUGCCCUUGCGCCGCUAUUACCCAAUCUUAGGGCAAUCUAGCGCGUAAGGCUCCCUUACUGGAGUGCAACCUCUAACAGAAUGACCACCUGGUUACCUACUUGUGCACCUAAUCUCUGGGGCCAUCCGUUCUGGGGGUGCCUUGAUUAUCACGUGCCAUACAUGCAGCCUCCCUUGGAAACCCUAACCCUAACGGGCAUUCGUGACUUCCAAGGCUCUUUACUCGUGCUGCGCCCAAUGGCGCCAUCCACACCACAUGCAUGGGCACCUUGUGGCUUAGGCUUCCCCCUACUCUGGAUGGUAUUACUGAUAACUGAUGUGUCUUCUGGGACCCACCUUUCGUGGUCCAAAUCAGUUGUUUGAGUCGCCGAUGCCGAUGUCACAUUGGCCUCACUCUGUUGCUGAGGACACAUCGGCACACCCUGGUGAUCGAUAUCCGACUACUAGUCGGCACCCUGGCUCGUGCCGCUUGUGAGACACCGGCUCAUGCCGCUUGUGGGACCCAGCUUACGUGGCCCACCAUUACUAGCAGUCAACGAUGUUCGAGGACUGGUCGGUACAAUAACCAAGUGCCAAACUCGACAAACCGAUCCUGCAAGAAGGAAACGUAAACUAGAAAUAACCCACGAAAGAUAUCACACCCUCAAUACAGGACAUAACAUCCAACAACUAAGCAAGAUCUUUGCAGUAGGCUGAAGUGCGCCAAAUAACCAAGUGCCAAUAUAAACAAACUGAUCUUGCAAGGAGGAUACAUAAACCAUAAAUAACCUACAAAAAGAACACAACAACUUCCCAAUCUUGACAGAUCAGUAACCAUAAACACUACAUAUCAAUCUCUCAAAGCUCAUACACCAUAAAGAUUCGAACACCAGACCGAAAAUCAUAAAUCAAAUACACUUUCCUUUACCGCAGCCCAAGAACAAAAUCAUCAACCCGACCCUGCCAGGUAGAAAAAAACCAAGAAAACCUGCACAAACACACCAUACCUUCCAAACCUGGAUAAAAACAUUAAACAAGAAACACCAAAUAUGAAUCUUUCAAAUACCUCAUACAACAUUGAGGUUCCAAACACCAGUCUGAGUAAGAAAAAUCUGCCAAACUUUCCUUUACUGUGACUCAAGACCAAGUCUUCCUUUGUAUCAUAGUAAAAACCUCUACUAGGUCUACACACCCAUUCUAAAAAACAACCAUAUUCUUAUGAUUCCAAAAUUCACUUAAAAUACCUACCCAAAUACCCCCAAACACCUAAUAAUAGCAUGUUUCAAACCUAUAGGUUUAAACAUCUUAAAAGACAUUUGUCCAUCACAAUCUAAAGCCAAAGAAGACCCCAACCACUCAAGACACAUUCCCCAAAUUCUUCAAGAGACCCUACACUCAAAAAAUAGAUGCCUUACCGUCUCUUCCUCCACACCACAAAAAGGACACCGAGCACACACCAUAGGUAUACCACCUCACAAGAGAUUGUCCUUAGUGGCUAUCGCAUUACAUAACACCCUCCAAGCCGUAAAUUGUAACGUUGGUACUAUCUUUAACGUCCUGAACUCCGCGAAGGGGUCCCCAAUCACUUUAGACUCCUCCCCCAAGAGAAUAUUAUAGGCUGCCUUCACAGAGAAGUCUGUAGAUUCUACAUCCCUCCAAAGCCAUUUAUCAAUCGUAUUUUCACCCUCUCUUAUUAACCUCUUGUUAUCCAAUACUUGUAAUAAAAGAUCAGCCAGACUAGAUUCCAAUACAAAGAGAUUCCUUCUCCAACUCAACUUCCACGAACAACUAUUAUUGUUCCAAACCCCAACUUGUGAUAUAGUGCGAUCACUAUCUAAAGAUAACGAGAAAAGUCUAGGGAACUUAUGCAUUAAAGAAACAUUGUCCACCCAUUUAUCCUCACAGAACCUAAUUUCUUUUCCAUCCCCUACUUCACACCAACCUAUGUCUUCAAAGUCAUUACCCCACUCCUCUAAAUUCCAAACUUUUCUAAUGUCCCUCCAAAUAGCGAUUUCUUACAAUUAUGAAUUUGGGACCUUAACCCCUUUCACCCACCAUACUUAAAGUCUAGAAUAUCCUUCCAUAAACCUUUCUUUUCAUACUUAAGUCUCCAAAUCCAUUUCCCCAUAAGAGCCAAGUUAAAUUUUCUUAUAUCAAUAACCCCUAAUCCACCUUUGUCUUUCAACUCACACACCUUAUCCCACGCCACCCAAGCAAUUUUCCUGUUCUUUGAGCCCCAAUCCCAAAAAAAACUCUUUUGUAUCCUUUUCACUUUCUUCACCACAUUAGUUGGCAUACAAAAUAAGGAGACAUAAAAUAACGGUAAGGAUGUAAGCACCAAUUUGAUAAGGCAUAAUCUGCCAGCCGAGGGAUUUCCCUUUCCAAGAGCUUAACCUACUUCGUAACUUAUCGAGCACCCCUUCCCAAAAAACACACCUCUUAUGGUUCCUGCCUACUGUUAUCCCCAAAUAACUAAAAGGAGCCUUUAUAAUAUCACAAUUAAGAAUAGAGGCAAAAUGUAAUCUCUAAACUAUAGAAUAAAAUUACAUUAUUUUUUUUAUAUAUAAAAGCUUUCAUGUUAAGUAUCACUAUGCAACUUGACAUCUCAGCUAGGCUAAUACCUCAAGUAACAACAAUCAUUUGUCAUCACAUGAAAAAAUAUUAAAAAAAGAAAAAAUAAAGAAAAUACAAAAAAAUAUGGAGGGACUAGACAAAAACUCAUAUGUUAACAAAAACGAUACAUAGGUAGACUAUACCUAUUCAUAAAGAAUUCUAAAAACAGGCUAGAUGGAAGCCUAUUAUACCAAUGGAACGAUUCUCUAUGAAUAAAUCCUAGAUUAUCCAACUUAUCGACACACACAUUCCCUUCAGAUAAAAUAUGAGUAACUUUAAACCUGAUUUUCCCUUCAUGAAAAAUAUGAAUAACCCUAAACCCGAUUUUCCCACAAUAAUUAAGACAAGUAUUCCAUCGAUUAUCAAGCAUCCACAGAACAUUAGUUCUAGCAGUAAAUGCAGCACAAACCAAGUAGAAUCACAUUCAAGCCAAACAUUAGUAAACCUUAUCUUUUGAGCUUCCUCCAUAGCAUGUAUAACUCCAUAAAACUCAGCAACCAUAGCAGUUUGAACUUUAAGAAACGUAGAGAAAGCACCAAUAAACUCCCUCAUACUCGCACAAAAAAUACCUCCAUAAGUAGCAAGACCAGGAUUUCCUCUUGAGCCCCAUCAGUGUUAAUUUUAACCCAGCCUCUCAUCUAAUAGGAAGAGGACGAAGAACUUUACCAGUACGAGUAUUAAGACCAAAAAUCUUAAUCACGUUGAAAUCCAACAUAUCAUUCUUCAUUGAAGCUUUAGACGAAUUUCCCACUAGACAAGUUAAAUCUUUAGUUAUCGAAAUAGCCCAAGAAACAUCAAUUUUAUCCUAAAAUUUAGCUUAAUUCCUCAUACGCCAUAUCAUCCAAAUAGAAAAUUUUAUCACAGCAAGCUUAAUGAAUUUAACCAAAGGACUACCAUCAUUCUUAAUAAAAGAAAGAAGAUAAUCCUUAUUAGAGAAAUGAGAAGUAAAAAAAACUUUCGAACUCAACUCCAAAUAUGAAAAGCGUUAGAACAUUCAAAAAAUAAAUGUUGAAUAGAUUCUUCGUGCUUUUCACAAAGCGUACACAUAGAACAUAAAUGCAAACUUUUAUUCUGAACAUGCUGAUCUGUAGGAAGUCACCCAUGAAAAAAAUUCUAUAGUACUAGAGUUUUGGAAGGUGGAAUAGAUGAAAACCAAAUGAAUUUACCCCAACCACAGGGAACUCCUGGUUCCAAGAAAAAAAUCAUAACCUAUUUAAGAGUGAAAUAACCAAACUCAUCUAUAAUCCAAUUAGGAAUAUCCUGUUCCUCCCUAACCAUUAUAUGAUUAAAAAAUGAGGCAUCUGCUGUAAAGACAAUGGAAUAUUCAAAUCACAAUCUAUCCAAAACUUAGAGACUGUAUCUGGAAUGUUAACACCAUCAGAUAACCCUUCAAUAUUUGUUAAAGAAUUAGAAGAACACCAUUUAUCAUUCCAGAAAUGAAUAAAAGUAUCUAUAGCAAUAAUCCAAGAAGUAUAAUCAAGUAUAGUAGAAUAAAACUGCCUAAUUCCAGGCUAAAGAGAAGAGGAUCUAUAAACUAUUCUAAACUCGUAUUUUGAUUUAAGAACCCUAACUUUCAGGAGAAAAGACCAAGGUCUGUUGCUAUAAGCAAAGUUCCAAGCAAGCUUAAGAAGAUAUGCAUUAUUUUCAUGACGAAGAUUACUAAUCUUCAAACCUUCAUUCUCAAGAGGAGAACAAAUCGUAUCCCAAUUAACGGUAACUAUGCCUUUUUCAGAAUAUCAUCAAUCCAAAUAAAAUUUUGACACCACUACUCAACUUGCUUAAGAAGUGAAACAAACCAUUUAUACAUAUUAAAGCUAUAAGCUAGAAAUUCAGUAACAUCAUAUUGACCAACUGAAUCUGGCCCAUCAUGCUAAGAGAUUUACCUUUCCAAGAUGCUAGCUUCCAUAUGACUUUAUCAUCCAAAGGUUGAAGAAAUCGACACUUUGGAGCAUCAACAAAGACAGACACUCCAAAAUAAUUGAAAGGCAAACAAUCAUGACUAUAAGAAAGAAUACGUUGAAUUUUGGUGACAAAUCUUGUAGAAUUAUCCAUGGUGAAAAAACUACUCUUAGAAUUAUUAACAUAUUGAACAGAAAAAUCAUCAUAUGUUUUAAGAAAAAUACUCAAAUUUCUAAGAGACUUAUUAUCCCCCUACAGAAAACAAAUAUAUCAUCAACAUACAAAAUAUGAGAGGAAGUGAGAUAACCUUACGGACUAGCCAUAUGUAGAAUUUUCUUAUCAUUCACAAGUGUAGAGAUACCUCUACCAAGAACUUCCUCUCCAAGACAAAAAAAGUAAAGGAGACCCACCAAACUGCAUCUCUACUACAAGGGAAAAAAACUCACCAAACUGCCAUUUAUUCUGAUAGAAAACAUAGUUGAAAGGAGAAUUGUAUGAAUCCAACCGGCAAUCAAGGGGUGAAAACAAAAGGUGUCAAAACUAAUAAUAAAAACUUCCAACUCAAAGUGUCAAAGGCUUUAUGAAUAUCAACUUUGUAAGCCGCAUUACCUCAUCUAACCUUUUUAGAAAACAUGUUAAUAGCUUCAAAAGCAAUACCAAUGCAAUCAUAUUGGUGGUCUUCAAGUUCUUUACCAGAACACAUGGAUUGAUAUAGCCCCAAAACUUGGGGCUGUUGUAGUUAAGAUUGGUGAUUUUCUUCAGGCAAGUUCUUUAUUGUUAGAGUAAAUUACACUAAUUACUCCAGAAGUUUUUGUCAAAAAUUACAUAAACUUUUUCAAUAUCUGUUAGAUUAUUCAGAGUGUAAUGUUCUUCAAACAACCAAUGGAGUUAGUAUAGUAGUAAAAGAAACUAAGAUAAGUAAUUAGUAUAAUUUACCCUUUUCUUUUAUUCUACCUUCCAAGCUACUAAAAUAUUUCAUAUUUCAUGAUACUUUUCUUGCAAGUGAAAUUUUAAAAUUCACAAAAACCAAAAUCAGCAAAAAAAAUUUAUUUCUAGCAAACUUUUAUAGAAAAUGUUAGAAAAGUCAUGGGCCAUAUAGUUGUAUCACGAGAGUCCUCAUAGGUUGAUAACUCAACAUUGAAUUGUUCCAAAUUAUAACCGUUAAAAAUAGAAGAAGAAAUAAUCUUUUAUUGAAAUGUAAGUUAUCUGAGAAAAUUGAGAAAUUUUGAAAGAUAGUAAAUUUGUAAUAAUAUUUUUACUAGGGAAAAAGCAAAACCCUGAAACUUGACAAGUUCUUAUGAUAUGUACAUGAAUUUAAAUGAGUGUGACAUUAUUAUUUUUUUCUUCUUAAGUGCAGCUUAUAACAAAUGACAAGUUCAAGAGUGUAGAACAUAGAGUAGUGGCAAAUGUGACAGGUCCAAGAAUAUCUGUUGCAUGCUUUUUCAGUGAAGGUCUUAGAUCACCAGGGAAACUCUAUGGACCUAUAAAAGAAUUAAAGCAUCACAUCAGACAAGGAAUAUUGAUCUUCAUUUACUGUAAUAUGGUAUCAGAGCCAUUUUCGAGCCUAUCCUAACGAGUAUUUGUUGGGUUUAGCAGGCCACCCGCUAUCGGGCCGUUAUCGGACCACCCAUAACAUAUAUCUCCACGCACGAGUUGGUAGCCUCGGUGUGAGGGGGGUGUGUUGGAGAUCUCACAUCGACUAGAGAUUAGAGUCUUUCAUAGUAUAUAAAUGGGUGCAAACCUCACCUCAUUGAGCCGGUUUUAUGAGGUUGAGUUAGGCUUAAAACCCAUUUCUUAACAUGGUAUCAGAGUCAUUUCGAUCCUAUCCUAUACUAUCCCACGCACGAGCUUCUAUCUAUCACUCUCGGCGUGAGGGGAGUGUGAUGGAGAUCCCACAUCAACUAGAAAUUAGAGCCUUUCAUUGUAUAUAAGUGGGUGCAAACCUCAACCUCAUGAGCCGGUUUUAUGGGGUUGAGUUAAGCUUAAAGUCUACUUCGUAAUAUGGUAUCAGAGCUCUUCGAAUGAAGAGUUCUGCUGCGCUUCUCUCUGAUUUUUAUUUCCCUCUUUGUUGUUCUUGGUUAUUUUUUUCUGUUCUCUUUCAAAAUCUUGAUUGGUUUUAAAAAUCUUUUAGGAAAUGUUUAAUGAAAACCCUAGUCUUCAUAGUCUUAAUAGUAGUCACACUAUUACAUGCAAUUUUUGUGGUAAAUAUGGUCAUAAUGAGGUUGUUUGUUUUCGCAAAGUGGGUUUUCGUUCUGGUAAUGUUAAAACCUCAAAGUUUUCUUUUACUAGAAAAGUCUGCACUUUUUGUAAUCGUCUUGGCUACACUGUCGACACCUGUUAUAAAAAGCAUGGGUUCACUCCUGGCUACAAAUUCACCAAUUGGACAUCCCAAGCCAAUAAUAUGAUUACUACUAACACUUUUUCUGAGCUUUUUCCUAAAGAACAGGAUGUAAAGAGGAUUCAACUUAGAUCACAACAGUGCCAAUUCCUUACCAACAUUUUGCGUCAGCAAAACCUUGAGGAUCAUGCCCCUCACAGUCAAAUUAAUCAAGUCGGCACCAUCUCUACGAAUGAAAUCCCCAAUACUGAGCAUUCUUCAACAGGUAAGUUUCUCUCUUCACUAUCUUCUAUAAAAGAAUCUUGGAUUAUUGAUUCUGGUGCCACUGAUCAUGUUUGUCAAAAUUUGAACAUUUUUACUACUUAUACUAAAAUUAAACCUGUCUUAAUUAGUUUUGCAAAUGGCCAAACUGUUUAUGCUACAUAUUCUGGUUUAGUACGUUUUUCUGAUAAGUUUUAUUUGUUUGAUGUGUUAUACGUGCCUCAUUUUCAAUUAAACUUAAUAUAUGUUUCUAAACUCACACACCAACUUAAAUGCACUUUAACUUUCACUUCAACCCAUUGCAUUAUACAAGACAAUCUCACCCAAGAGAGGAUUGGUACAGUUAAAGCCACCGCUGGCUUGUACCUUGUCACUACCUUGCCUGCUUCUAGUCGUUCUAAACCGCAUUGUUUUGCUCCUUUUAUUAAUUUUAAUAUCACAGACAAAACACUAUGGCAUUAUAGACUAGGACACCCUUCACAUGAAAGAUUACAUGUCUUAAGCAAACAAUACUCUUUUAUUACUGUUGAUACUCAUCAUGUAUGUGACACUUGUAGUCGUGCAAAACAGAGAAAACUUCCUUUCACUUUAAGUAAUACUGUUACCUCUGCUAUUUUUUAUCUUGUACACUUUGNNNNNNNNNNNNNNNNNNNNNNNNNNNNNNNNNNNNNNNNNNNNNNNNNNNNNNNNNNNNNNNNNNNNNNNNNNNNNNNNNNNNNNNNNNNNNNNNNNNNCCAUGUUCCAUAAUUUCUGUGCAAGGUUUUCAUUAUUUCUUUACUAUUGUUGAUGAUUACUCGCGUUAUACUUGGGUUAUUCUGCUGCAUAACAAAUCUGAAGUGCGUCAGCACAUCAUUAACUUCACUGUUUUCGUUCAAAAUCAUUUCAAAACUAAUAUCAAAACGAUUCGUACUGACAAUGAUGUUGAGUUUGCUAUGUCAAAUUUUUAUGCUUCAAAGGGAAUUAUACAUCAAAAAUCUUGUGUUGAAACACCACAACAUAAUGGCAUUGUCGAACGUAAACAUCAACACAUACUAAAUGUAACCCGAGCUUUACUUUUUCAAGCAAAUCUUCCUCCUAUUUUUUGGGAAUUUGCUGUAAAUCAUGUUGUUUUCAUAAUAAAUGUUAUUCCUACUCCAUUACUUAAUAACAUCACUCCUCAUGAAAAGUUGUUUGGAAAACCAUAUGACAUUUCCUUUCUAAAAGUGUUUGGUUGUCUCUGUUAUGCUAGUACCAUUACUGCACAUAGGAAAAAAUUAGAUGAUAGAUCUAUCAAAGGUAUUUUUCUUGGUCUACCGCAAAUACAAAAGGUUAUAUUAUCUUAAAUUUAAAGUUUCAUAGCAUAGAGAUAUCAAGACAUGUAAUCUUUCAUGAAAACCACUUUCCAUAUAAAUUGGACAGUGGCUUGCCUAAGGACCCUAACACUUUAUCUCUCCCUAUUUCUAAUGCAUAUAAUUCAGCUUUUGAUUUUUUUUUCUGAUACUGCACCUCCUGUCGAGCCAUGUACUCCUGCACCCAAUACUGUCCCUCCACCAGCCUCAUUAUCCUAUGAUCUUCCAACAAAUAGUGCGUCUGCUCCUGCAUCCAACAUUGCACCUCCAUCAGAAUUAUCACCGCCUACAUCUCCAGGAAGAAUCUCACCCCCAUUUCCCAGAAGAUCAGCUCGUCCUCACUGACAACCUGCCUAUCUUGCAGAUUUCCACACUGCAACCAACACUGUAAGUAGUAGAUAUCCUAUUCAUAAUUACUUGUCUUACAAUUCCUUAUCUUCCAAUUUUAGAAAUGUUAUUUCCUCUAUCAAUUCUCAUCCUGAACCUCGGACAUAUAACGAAGCGUCCAAACAUGCUUAUUGGCAAUCUGCCAUGCAAGAUGAGCUUCAAGCUCUUGCUGNNNNNNNNNNNNNNNNNNNNNNNNNNNNNNNNNNNNNNNNNNNNNNNNNNNNNNNNNNNNNNNNNNNNNNNNNNNNNNNNNNNNNNNNNNNNNNNNNNNNACCCCUCUCCCUCCAAGAAAGAAAACUAUUGGUUGUAAAUGGGUAUAUAAAAUCAAAUACCAUUCUGAUGGCACUGUUGAGCGCCACUAAGCUAGAGUUGUUGCCAAAGGGUUCACCCAACUUGAAGGACUUGAUUUCUUAGACACUUUUGCACCUGUUGCUAAACUCACUACCCUCUGCCUUCUCCUUGCUAUUGCCACUACCAAAAAUUGGAUUUGAAAACAACUUGAUGUCAAUAAUGCAUUUCUUCAUGGUGAUCUCCAUGAAGAGGUAUACAUGACCCCCCCACCUGGCCUCUCUCUUCCUUCUCCCAAGCAUGUUUGCAAGCUUCAACGGUCUUUGUAUGGCCUUCGUCAAGCUGGUCGCCAAUGGUACUCCAAACUUCCUACUUUUCUUUUAUCAAAUAAUUACUCUAUUUCUGUUGUUGAUCACUAUCUUUUUCUUAAAUAUAAUAAUGAUAAACUCACUGUUAUUCUUGUUUAUGUUGAUGACUUAGUCUUAACUGGUGAUGACACAGAGGAAAUCAAUACAAUUACUGCAUCCCUUCACCAUCACUUCAAGAUAAAAAAAUUUAGAUAAUCUCACUUACUUUUUGGGACUGGAAAUUGCUCGCAACAGUACUGGUCUUCAUUUAAGUCAACGCAAGUAUACUCUUGAUCUCCUUCAAGAAACUGGCAUGCUUGACUCUGCACCUGUGGCCACUCCUAUGACUCACACCUCCCGUCUCUCUCCCGACCAAGGCUCACCUCUCGAUACUGAUGCCACUUCCCAAUACAGAAGACUCCUUGGACGUCUAAUUUACUUAACCAACACGCGACCAGACAUCCCUUCGCUGUCCACAAUUUAAGCCAAUUCAUAUCUCCACCCACAAGUCAUCAUCAGCAAGUUGUCUCACGUCUUUUACGUUACCUCAAGGGCACCCCUGGUGAAGGACUAUAUUUUUCUCACACUAGUUCACUUCACCUCUGUGGUUUUAGUGACUCUGACUGGGCAACAUGUCCUACCACACGCAAAUCUGUCACUAGAUAUUCCAUCUACUUAGGAGACUCUCUAAUAUCAUGGAAAUCAAAGAAGCAGCCAACUAUCUCCCGCAGCUCCUCUGAAGCCGAGUAUAGAGCCCUUGCCACCACCACAUGUGAGUUACAAUGGUUGUCUUACCUCCUUCAGGAUUUACAUCUUCCUCUCUCCCAACCUGCAACCCUGUACUGUGACAACAAAUCUGCCCUUCAAAUAGCUUCCAAUCAAGUUUUUCAUGAACGAACCAAGCACAUCGAAAUUGAUUGCCAUCUAGUUCGUGAAAAACUUAACUCUGGUCUCCUCAAACUACUACUCAUUACUUCUGCAAUGCAAGUUGCUGACAUUCACCAAGCCCCUUGCUUCCGCACAAUUCUCUACUCUCAAAUCCAAGCUGGGCCUGACAAAUAUCUACUCCCUAGCUUGAGGGGGGGUGUUAAUAUAUUUAAUUUUCUAUUUUAAAUUAUUGGGCUUUGUUUGUUUGGCCCAACUUUCCUUUUCUGUUUCAGCUAGGUCUUAAUCUUUUUCUUAUAUAUACACCAUGUAUUUUACUCUCUAAUAUACAAGUGAAUAAAAGUUUCUUUUAUAUUUAUUUUUCUCUACAAUUAGGGUUCAUCAAAACCUCUCUUUCUUCAUUACGAUUACGUGCGAUUACGUACGCUACAUUAAAGCAUCACAUCAGACAAGGAAUAUUCAUCUUCAUUUACUGUAAUAAAAUGCAUUAGAAAUUGAAACAUUUAUGAAGCUCACUGAGACUAAGGAUCUUAUUAUCUUAUUCUCAUACUGGAAUUUUGUAGUGUCACUUGUCUUGUUAUUUUGGGACUUGUUGUUUUAAGACAUAACUGGUGAUAUGUUUUAUGUACAUGUUCUACAUUGAAACCCACAGUUUACACCAAAUUAUGUUGACUCAAAGAGUAUAUGGAACUAUACAAAACUAUCUCAGCUUAUAAGAAAAAGAUAAAUCAUAAUUAAAAUUUAAAGUUGUUAUAGAAAAAUUUAUCCAAACAUAUCCUCUAAUCUCAGUGAUGGCUCAACCAGUGAACCAACUUCAAAUUACCUCAUAGGCAUCCAUCUAUGAUGAUCGUAUUUUGGAGAUGAUGUUGCAGAAAAACUUAGUUGUGCACGUGAAAAAUGGGGAUUCUUUCAGGUCAUUAAGCAUGAGAUUCCAAGUGAAGUUUUGGAUAUGAUGUGCUGGUAUGUAACACGGAUACAGAUAUUUUGAAUAAAAAUUUAUAUAAUAAGUUAUAAAUUUUUUAAAAAAAAUUAUUAGUUGUGUUAAAACUAUCUUAAAGUUGUCAAAUAUAAAAAAAUUUCUGCGUGUGAUACGUAUCCAAUAUCGAAAUACACCAAUUAAAAAUGGUGUUUGAGCUUCCUAGGAAGACACUUGGUUUUGUGAUAGCAUCGCAUUGUCCAGAAGCAUAAGAAAUGGCAGUUGUUUGCAGGUUCUUUUAUCAUUACAUUUUAAGCAUUAAUCCUUUGUCCGAUUAUUUUUAAGCUUUUUGUGUGUCUAUCUCUUAUCUCUUUUAAAUCUGUUCUACUUUGUUUUUUAAUAAUUUUUGAUAAAAAAAAUCGAUUUUUUCGUAAAUAACUAGUUGAUUUUCUGGAAUCAUAUUAAAAACAAAUUUGUUUUUGGCUAAACCGAUUUCUACUUUAUUGAUUUCUCAUUGGCUUUCAAUCUACCUCAACAUUUGCGAAAAUAUUUCAUAAACAAUUCACCCCCCUCUUAUUUAACGCCUACAUUUAUAACAAUAUCUUAUUGAUGGAUUGCUCCCUUAUGAGCCCUCGGAAGCCAUGAUCAUCAAUAAGAAUGCGAGUCCAUACACCCUGGUGGAUUUUUGUCUUUUCUGUUAUAGUUACACGCAUCCACUACUCCCUUGUGUAAGUGGGGACCAAUGUAUGCGAAUAAUGUCUAAGCUCCACGAGGGCAUUUGUGGCAGUCACAUCGGCGGGCGAGCCAUUUCUUUAAAGGCUAUCCGAGCAGGGUACUACUGACCGACGAUGAAGGAAGACUGUGGGAAGUAUGUAAGGAAGUGUGAAUAGUGUCAGAAGCAUGCCGAUUGGAGUCACUCGCCACCUGAGGAGUUGUGGUCAAUCUCUAGCCCAUGGCCUUUCCAUACUUGGGUAAUAGAUAUUUUGGAACCUUUUCUGUUAGCCCUAUGCCAAAUGAAGUACCUCAUCGUCGCCAUUGAAUAUUUCACUAAGUGAACCGAAGCUGAGCCGGUGGCGCAAAUAAUUGCUCACAAAGUCCAACAUUUUGUAUGGAAGAAUAUUGUAUGCCGUUUUGGGAUUCUUAGGCACCUGGUGUCCGAUAAUGGGACCCAAUUUGCCAACAGAUAGUUCAGGAAACUAUGCACAGAGCUCAGAAUUAAAUAGAUUUUUUCCUCGGUGGAACAUCCCUAAACGAAUGGCCAGGCUGAGUCAGCCAACAGAAUCCUACUAAGAGGUUUGAAAAGGAGACUUAAAAAAGCAAAAGGAGUUUGGUCAGAGGAAAUCCCCAUAAUCUUAUGGUUUUAUCAUACCACCCCACAGUCAACAACGACGGAGACACCUUUCAGUCUGGUGUACUGGUCAGAUGUCAUGAUACCAGUAGAAGUGUUAGAGAAUUUCCCAAGGUUCCAAAGUUUCAUUGCUGAAGAGAUCAACGAGGGAAGGAGAAUAAAAUUAGAUUUGUUGAGGAGGCGCACAACCGCGCCCGCAUAAACUCAGAGGCCUUGAAGAGAAGAGUGGAGUUGAGGCACAAAACUAAAACAAAGCUUCGACAAUUCAAGGUAGCCCGACUUGGUAAUGAGGAAACCCAUCCUUACCAGAUUUGAGAACAAGUUGUCUCCCAAGUGGACUGGCCCAUAUCGAGUAUCGAGGUACUUUGCAAUGGAAUAUAUAGGUUAAAAACUCUGGAUGGGGGAGCCAUCCCGUGAACAUGGAAUGUGGGGAGUCUCAAAUUUUAUUUCAGUUAAUAUGUUUAUUCACCUUGUUUCUUAAACAUUUUAUGUUCUCUUUUAGGGUGACACUUUUUUUUCCCUUAAAGGAUUUUUUUUUUUAAUGAGAUAGCCUUUAAAUAGUUUUUAUUUUGGAAAUCCACGAGCAAAUAGUUACCCUAGUAGGCGAACUGUGAGACGACAUAAUUCGGAACAGACACAGUAACCCGAGUAGGCACAUGGUAAGACGACCUAACUCGGAACAGACAUAGUUACCCGAGUAGGCACAUGGUAAGAUGACCUAACUCGGAACAAACAUAGUUACCCUAGUAGGCGCACUGUGAGACGACUUAACUCGGAACAGACAUAGUUAUCUGAGUAGGCACAUGCUAAGACGACCUAACUCGGAACAAACAUAGUUACCCGAGUAGGUGCACUAUGAGACAACUUAACUCGGAAUAAACAUAGUUACCCGAGUAAGCACAUGGUAAUACGACUUAACGGGGAUCAAACAUAGUUACCAAAGUAGGCGCACUAGAAGAUGACCUAACUUUGGGGGUGAGCAGCGUCAACACUCAUCACUGGGCCGAGCAUGAGUUCAGACUACCUCGUAAUACCAAUAACGACAUACCAUUAUGACAGAACCGUAAGGUGAGAUUGUUUGGCAAGGUGUCUGCCAUAAUGUCAAGAUAACCAAUGAUGUAGGCAAGGUUAAAGUAGCUAGUGAAUUCAACUGACCUAGAAGGGCGCCAUCCAUCUAAUAUUAAGCUUGUUUCUUAAGAGUUAUUCUUAUACGUUUCAUCUCACUCAGGUUAGGAAAUUUGUAAUAUGUUAGUUAUGCUGCAUUUGGUAUGCGAAGUCAAUUUAUUUGGCAAAGUACUUUUGGCAUGUAUUUAUAUGUUAUAGGCAAGACUAUUAACGCCCUAAUAAAGCACAUCGUGAGCUUAAGUUAUAGAAAAUGAUAAACACUCUUAGGAUUGUCUGAGUUCCAACGAUUAAAUAUACAUUUUAAAGGGACAAACAAAAUGACUAAUAAGUUCCAAUGUUAAAUGUAUGCAUAAAAUAUGGUUCAUAAACUUAGAAUUAGGAGUCCUCCACUAGCUUCCCAUCAACUAUGCUCUUGUAUAGGUUCAACUCGAAGAAGUCCACUGUGGGGUGGACGAUGGCUGCUUGCUCUAAGGCGGUUUCAAACCAAACAAUGAAUGAUUGGGUUGCAUCAUCCUUAAGGGAAUCAACCACCUUGGAGAACUUCCUUUGCUUAUGCGUCAUCUCCACUUCCUUUUCUUUCUUCAAGUCUUCAAUCUUAUUGGAGAGUUUGCUCUUCUCUUCGGCCAAGACAAGUCCCUCUUGGGUCUUAUUGGCCAACUCCAAGCACUAACAAUUCACCUCAACACGGAGGCGCUCAACCCCCUAUUGGAGUUCGACAAUCUGUUCGAUUCUCUUGUCUUCAGCCUUUUUUCGAUCCCUUACUUUGACAUUAGCUAAACACGCUGAGGAAAAUGCUUGGCCAAGAAGCUUCUCAGAGUCUUGGCGGAGAUGAUUUUCACCAUAAACCAUCAUCCUAGCCUUAUCCUCGUCUGACAAGAAACAUGACUCGCCAUGUGCUGGGAUGUCAAAGUUGGGAUCCCAUAAGCUCUUCCUUUUUGAACUUCCCACAACUUCGCACUCCUGGAUGGGUAAAAGAUUUUGAUAAGGAGCCUGACCAUUUGAAUGCGAGUGCUCGGAGGGCGGAGUCGCCUGCAAUCCUUUCCUCUUAAAAACAAGACCCGAGGUUGUGUGCUCGUCUUAUUUGGAUUGGACAUGAACAACACCAGCUGAGACUUUCUUCUUCUACAACGAAGAGUCCUUGUUUGCAACUGCACUCAUCUUCUUGGCACGCUCAAUCAGCUCGGCUUUGCUAAUGUUAGAAAGCAUGUUAUCUAUAAAAACAAACAACGUUUCAGAGUUCAUGAAUUAAGGUUUCCUUUCAAGGGUAAGACUAAAAAAGGGGAUAUACCAAUGUAGGCUUUGAGAGAACCAAGAAGGUACUCCCAAUCCCAAAGGGUAGAAUUAGCCACUCAUGUUGGUCAGUACAACCAUGGAAAGCAAGUAAAGAAGAUCAUAGACGUUUCUCCUUGAUGGCUGCCUCUUCUAGGGUUUUAUAUCUCCUUCUACUCUUCGAAUGACGUAUAGGGUUAUGCCUCACACCUCAUAUUUAACCUAGUUGGGUUUCGCUAAGUGACUUUUCGCUUAAGUGAGUCUAGCUCGCUUGGGCGAGUUUGACGAGAAUAAACCUAACUUAUCUAAAAUGAACUCGUCUGGGCGAGCCUUGGGCGAGUUCCUCUGGAGUGAUCUGGUUUGAGCAAGUUUGGACGAGUUUUGAGCCAUUUUUCCAUGUUCCAACUUUCCCUUUUCAUCUUGUUUAUUCUCCUUUAGCCCUUUCAUCUCCAUUUUCCGUUAGAAUCCUGAAAUUAACACAAAUUUGGAAAAAAAUUGUCUUAUUCAUAUUAUAAUCAUAAAAUAUGUAAAAAGUUUUAAAUUAAUAAAUUAGGGGUUAAAAUGUAGCUAGUUUUUUUCAAUAAACAUCCAUAAAUGUCUUUCGCUUAAUAUGAAAUAUUAUUGAAAUAUGACACUGUUGAACCAUGUGGUGUUCAAUGUUUUGAAGAAUCCAAAUCCUUUGAAGGAUGAUGAAUCCUCUGCUUUGCUUGUUGCUGUUGUGCUGGCUUUAGUCUUGUUCUGGGGUAGUUCAAUGUUGUAAUCAACACUUAGAUUAAAUCUCAAAGCAAUUAGCAUCUCAAUUUUAAUAAAGCAAAAUGUUUUUCAAACUAAGUUGAAACAACCGAUUGUUUUGUCGAAACAACCGAUUGUUUACACUUAGAUGUUUUGAGAAAGUUUGAAAACUGUUUUUGAAUGGUGUAUUUUGUUAAGUAACAAAACAACCGAGUGAUUCGAGGAAACAAUCGAUUGUUUAUUUUAAAACCAUAACAGAAAAACUGUUUUCUUUGACUGAGCUUUAAAUGCUUUAACUAAAUACGCUUCAGUCAUUAAAUGCUUUGACCAAUCUAUUUUAAAUGCAAUUAAGAGUUUGUUAAGAUUUGAUAACAAACUAUAUUCUUAGAUAUAUUCUGAAAAACAGUUUUGAUAUAUUAAGAAUCUUGAAACAAAGUUUUCAUAGAAGAGUUUUUCAAAGUAUUCUGAGAUUGCUAAAGAGUUGAGAGAUCGAUCAAGGUGCUGAAUAGGGAUUCUACUUGUAUUGAUUUCAGAUUUCCAUCUGUAACAAGUGUAAUCUUUGUAAACUGCUGAACAUUCGUUUAUGUGUGUUGCUGAGAUUGGCUAUGUGUUCUUGAGGUGUUCAAGAUCAGCAAUCUUAGUGUUGGCCAAGGAGAGUGUGUUUCUUGAGGUGUUCAAGGUCAUUCUCUUGGUUGUGGUGUAAGUGAUCAAGUGGUGAUUGCUUAGUGGAUAUCCUCAGGGUUUCUGAGAAGACUGGAUGUAGCUCUAGUUGGAGUGAACCAGUAUAAACAUCUGUGUACAAUCUUUCUAUCCCUAUCUCUUUAAUUUCAGUUUGUUUGUUGUUUGCUGGUAUAAACAACCGAUUGUUUCGAAGAAACAACCGAUUGUUUUUUCCUGAUAUCACUAUUUUGCUUGCUGUUUUGGCUAACUAAAUUGCUGAAUCAAUUGGUUUCUAAAAUAAGUUCAUUCUAGCUUAGAAAAGUUUGCGAAAACCCCUUUAAACAAUUCACCCCCCCUCUAGUUUAAAGCCAUCUUUUCUAACAGACACUUAUAAACUCUCCCCAACCUAGAAUCUUGCUUGUCUUCAAGAAAAUUAAAUGAAUAUAAAUAAAUUAUUUUGAACUCAAAUAUCAAAACAACUUUAUUCAUUAUAAGUUACAUUAGAAACUUAUAGUGCUUCCAACUUCAAAUAUAGCAAACUAUAGAUACAAUGUACUUCCAGGAUCAAACUAAAACAAUAAAAUGACAAUUCAUCAAGGAAUUUCUUCUCAUAUGCUCACAUAUAAGUAUUUCUCUCUAUUUUCAUUGAAUCCUAACAAAUCGCAGUUGCUUUUCAUUUCAUCUUCAUACUACAAUUAUAUAGGAAACAUGAAUCUUAAGGUCUUUUACAUGGUUAUAAUGAGGCUCGACUUCCAAAAAGUAUUGGUUGUUAGAUAAAAAAUAUAAAAAUUAAGCAACCACAACUUUCAAUUCAUCAGUAAAACUCUCAAAACUGUUACACACUCACCCGAUUUAAUUAGUCUCAUUCCUUAUUCUUUUGUCUUUCUUUGUUCUAAUCAAUCAUCCUAUUAAAUUUUCAUGUAUCAUAAAUCGUUCUUAUUAAUAUCAUAAUCUCAAAAUAUGUAAAAAAGUAUAAAUUCAUAAAUUAGGGUUAAAUUAUAGCUUUUUUUUAUCAAUAAGCAUCCAUAAGUGUUUGUCUUUUAAUAUGAAAUACUACUGAAAUAUGAUAGUCAUCAAAAUUUGAUACAAUCCAAGCCAACAAGGAGAUGACCAAGGACUCACAUGACCAUUCACACUAUGAGAAGUCUUCUCAACUUUCAAAUGAAUACCCCACCAAGGAUCUAGCAGACCUCACCAAAAGAAGAAAUGGACAAAUACCAGAAUGUCAAAUGUUCUUUCUUAUGGUCUUCUUAAAAAUAAACAUGUUAAUUUUGAAGAGAAAAGUUACUCUACACAAAUUGUGUUGUGAGGUUUGAAUCCUCUUGACUAGGUCUUAUCUUGAGUAGUGUGAGACUCUCAAGUGGCGGACCUUCACUCAUCUUGGUGGCUACCACACCUGCGUGAAUCAUUCUCACCAUCAGUCCAUAAGCUACACUUCUUCCACUAUUUUCAAUUCAUUUCCAUUUUCGCCUUUCAUAUAUGUUUUUUUCUUAAACUCUUGCUCUUGGAUUUGAUUUUGUUAUAUGCCUAUGGUUCAUCAUUUGGUUUGGCCAUGACCACCAUUGAUGUUUACCUUAUUGCCAUUUCCAUUCCACAUUGCAUUUCAUCUAUCACUUUAUAUUGAUUUUUCAUUUUUGCCUUUGUGAAGUGAACCUUCACACUUACUUAACCAUUUGGUUAAGUUCGUGUCCAGUGGGAAUCUUCCUUAGGUUUCACCAUUAAAUUGCUAAAAUCCCAACUCUAAGUAAAUUGUUACCAUAAAAGGGAACCAUCUAAAAAUCAACUCAUAUCAUGUGGUUAUCAGAGCUUAGGUUCUUGAGCUUUUUUUUCUUUGAGUUGAUUUGGCACUUUACUUUUCUUGCACCUUUAAUUUAUUGUCUUUACAUUCAAGCACCUUUAAUAUCUUGUCUUUACAUUCAAGCACAUUUAAUUUCAGCCCUUUAUUUUAUUGCUUUUCAAUUCGACAUUUAUCUUAUCAAUUAGCUUUGUUUUCGCUUUUGGAUGAUAAAUUGUGUCUUCUUUUGUUAUUGCCUUUUUUCUUUGAGUCAUAUAUUCUUUAGUGUUUCUAGGAGUCCUUAUAUUUUGCUUCUAAGUACUUUGCUUUUAAUUGUGAAAAUUUAAAAGUAAUUGGAAAUUUGUUUUNNNNNNNNNNNNNNNNNNNNNNNNNNNNNNNNNNNNNNNNNNNNNNNNNNNNNNNNNNNNNNNNNNNNNNNNNNNNNNNNNNNNNNNNNNNNNNNNNNNNNNNNNNNNNNNNNNNNNNNNNNNNNNNNNNNNNNNNNNNNNNNNNNNNNNNNNNNNNNNNNNNNNNNNNNNNNNNNNNNNNNNNNNNNNNNNNNNNNNNNNNNNNNNNNNNNNNNNNNNNNNNNNNNNNNNNNNNNNNNNNNNNNNNNNNNNNNNNNNNNNNNNNNNNNNNNNNNNNNNNNNNNNNNNNNNNNNNNNNNNNNNNNNNNNNNNNNNNNNNNNNNNNNNNNNNNNNNNNNNNNNNNNNNNNNNNNNNNNNNNNNNNNNNNNNNNNNNNNNNNNNNNNNNNNNNNNNNNNNNNNNNNNNNNNNNNNNNNNNNNNNNNNNNNNNNNNNNNNNNNNNNNNNNNNNNNNNNNNNNNNNNNNNNNNNNNNNNNNNNNNNNNNNNNNNNNNNNNNNNNNNNNNNNNNNNNNNNNNNNNNNNNNNNNNNNNNNNNNNNNNNNNNNNNNNNNNNNNNNNNNNNNNNNNNNNNNNNNNNNNNNNNNNNNNNNNNNNNNNNNNNNNNNNNNNNNNNNNNNNNNNNNNNNNNNUAGUGAGUUCAUUUUGAUUGGCAAAUUGAUUUCAACAUUGUGGAAUUUUUAUCCUUUUGAUUUAACAAUUUCUAAAGUCAUUGUUAAAAGUUUAGUAAGUAUCUUAAAGUCUUUUUGUGUGCCUUUUCUUGCUUAUCUUCUUUAAAAGUUUUGUCAUACAUCUUUUCUCAAACUUGGUUUAGCUUUCUUGUUUUGUGCUUUUCUUGUUUGUCCUUUAAAAUUUCCUUGAGUUUUGUUGUGGUCCUAUUGAGAUCAAGUGAUAAGGGCUUUGUCCUUUUUCAUUUGAGAGAUUUCAACACCAAGAUAGACCUUUGUUGAGGGGAAACUUUCUUUUUGAGUGUUUUGUGUCUUCUCCUCUUUGUUUUUACACAAGAGUGACACAAGAUAGAGGGAGAGUGAUCUAAAUUUUCUUUCACUAAUUGUUUGUUCAUUGUAUUUUAUGGCUCAUCUUUCUUCAGGGGAAUCAUGAAAACCUCAAUCUCUCCAAAAGGUUUUCCUUAUGGGUGAGUUGGCAGCGACAAAAAGGUCCCUAACACAAAAGGAGGAAGAGAUGAGGCAAUUGGAGGACAUACUCCAAAGGCUUGAAACCGCACAAGUAAGACAACCAAGAAGGUGGGAGAAUAAGAGAGCUACAAGGAGCUUCACUCAAUACGGCAACCGUGAGGAAGAUGAAGAUUGGAGUACUAAGGAAGAUUCAAAUUCAAAUUCCCAAAAAAAAAAACGAAACAUUCUAAACCUUAAUUCGUGCAUCACAUCUAUACAUCACCCCAAAGCACCCAUCGACACAUUUUCUCGGUACACCCUCAAAUCAACCACUUCUUGGCCGCAUCAACCACUCAAACCUCUUCAUGCUAAAGCAUUUCGAGCUUGGGGGCACAAGCGUACCACAUGGGGUUUAGACCCUCCUGGACACCGACAACUGAACUACCUAAACCUCACCUCGACACCUUAAUGACGAGUUUAAAAGGGGAUAAAAGGUUAAAUCAUACAUAGUGUGAGAACAUUAACCACGUGCUAAUACAGGCUCAUACUUAUGCACCCUUAGGUUAAAAAAUAUAUUUUACUAAUAACCUUAUACUAACAUAUAAAAAAAAGACUAUUUUAAUUAUUCUCCAACGAGCUUACUAACAUAACUGGGCCAAACCCAUCACCCACCUUAUAGCCCCAACAGUCGAGCUGACCUACCCAUAUCGUGCCCCGAGCUCCAAUCACUAAGCACUCUGUCCAGUACACAUCUCUUAUAUAAUUGUAAUAAAAAAAUAUUAAAAUGAGUCUUACCAGUGUUCUUCUAUGUAACAAACGAAUUUAUAUUUUUAGUGUAUGAACUGUGUUAUAAUAAUAUAACAUCCACAUCACCAAUAGAUUAUUAACAUGAAAUGAAAUAAUUUAACAUUUUAGUCCACACUAAAAAUAUGUUUGACACUUAAAAAAAACUACUUAUAAUAAUUCUCUUUCUACAAAUAACAAUAAUAAAAAUCUAAAAAUUAAAUUAAAAACAAAAAUCAAUUUCACCUUAAAAUAAGGCUUAAAAAUAAAAAUUGCAGAAAGUAGGGCGAAAUUUCACAAGUUUUGAUAGAGGAUAGCCUUGGUUUGAGCGAAAAUUUCUGAAAAGUUCUCCCGAAGUAGUUUUUUCCUGAAAUUCCACGUAAGAAUCUCCACUGAAUUCGGGACAAAACGCGACAAAUUUUAGUUGAAACGGAUGAAUAGUGAGCCACGAAAAAAAUCAAACAGUUUCACACACGAAUGAACCUUCCUUUCAGUCCUGGUAGUGAUCAAUAAAAAAUUUAUUGCCAAUCUUGUGGGACGAAUCUGGGGCUCAAAUCUCAGCCAAAACUCAAUAGACACAGUGAUGAACGUUUGGUAAAAAUUUCACACCAAAACACUCAAGGAGUAAGGCGUAGCAAGUCCCAGACCGAGAGUGAACAAAACUGGUUUUCCGAAAACAAAACGUCCUGGCUUUUCUUCCCCGUAUCUUCUUUUUUUGAUUUGUUUAUGGACGUGCCUCCUUACCUGGGUGCAAACAACAUUUGAAAGUACUUACAGGCUCAUAAGAAUAAGGGUCCAACUCAUCUCUAUAAAUAAGUUGACCAACAUCAUACCAAUGUACACAUUUUAAGACAUUUAUUACUCUCAACAACCAAUGAUCGAUCCUUGACUUGAGCGUUAGAGUGUUUCUUUUGCAAGUACCCCGCCCCGACCGAGAUCAGAUACCGUUGACCGGAAUGACAGAAGACAUAUAAAGCAGAUAGGAUGAAUUCUUUGACCUUAUGUAACCUUUUUAAAAUUCUUGCUAUGUUAGUGAUGGAUAGAUGACAAAAUCAAGUUUCUAACAUGAUAAGACGUUCUUUAAAAAUGCUUCAAAAAGUUAGUUUUUCAAAAAUUCUACUUUUUUAGGACACAUUUAAUAAUAUGUCAUUAUACAAGUUUAAGGAAAAAAUGAUUUAUGUUGUAUAAUUUUAUAUUGGUUGGUCCAUAGACAUAAAUUAUGUCGAGUACUUGAUCAAGUUCUAUUAGACAAACUAAUGUUGCAAAGUUCCUAACAAAACAUUAUUGAGAAUUCAAUUACUUGUGACUAGAUAACUUUAGUACUAUUUGAACACUUAGUCACUUCUAAUUAACAAUUAAAAGUAUUUUUGAAACGCAAUCACUUCUAAACAAUCGAGAAACAAUUAGAGUAUAAUUCCUAAAUAAAACACGAGUAUUUAUUUGAAACACACGAAAAAAAGAAAUAAUUUAAAAGAUGAUAAGAUUUUGCUUUCUAAGAAGAUAAUGUCUUUCAACAAAUAGGUUAAAUUCUAUAUUCUAAUUGGUCUCCUUAUAAAUGAUUCGUUAGAUUUAUUAUAUUGGGUGUAAGGUCAUCAGGUUAAUUAUUAAAUAAAAAAAUAAAAGAUUUAUAAAAUAGCACAUAUAAUAUAAUGAAAAGAAAGAAAAGAGUAUGGAUAAAUUAUAAUAAUUUUGAAAUAAAUAUCUCUUCUCUUGUCUGAGUUAUAUGUGGACGAGGAAGUCCCUUUCUCAUAACGUAACUUGCAUCCUACCUAAACCAAGUGUUUCUCUCUUCCCAUAAUAGUACCAAAAUUACCAAAAUCAGCACAAGGAAGCAAUAUGGGGUUUGGAGUUUCAGUCUCUGAGGAAGUAAACACUGAGAGGGUGCGUGAACUCAAAGAAUUUGAUGACACAAAAGCUGGUGUUAAAGGCCUUGCUGAUCAAGGGAUCACAAAAAUCCCAAGAGUAUUUCAUCAUCCACCCGAUGAACAAGUGAAGGUCUCAACUUCAGGCGGAGAAGCAGACGAUAUUCCUGUUAUAGACCUUGCAGAAGUUGACAAGGAUCCAAGUUUACGGCAAGGAGUUAUUGACAGAAUAAAGGAAGCAUCUGAGAAGUGGGGUUUCUUUCAAGUGGUCAACCAUGGCAUCCCUGUGACUGUUCUAGAGGACUUGAAAGAUGGGGUGUGCAGGUUUUAUGAACAAGAUACUGAGGUGAAAAAGGAUCUAUAUACCCGGGACCACAAGAAACCUUUUGUGUAUAAUAGCAAUUUUGAUAUCUACUCUUCACCAGCACUCAGUUGGAGGGACACUUUUUUUUGUUAUCUGGCUCCUAAUCCUCCCAAAC
rnacentral:lncRNA from 1 species